GCACGUCCCGCACCUUUUCCAGUGCGGCAGCUAACAGUAAGGCGGUGGGCGGCUGGUGAUUGCAGUGCAUAACCUUGGCAUACACUCUUUCUCAAGCUCCGUGCGGAUUGUUUUUUCCGCUAUCGUGAAUUUUACUUCCGGCUGCAACUGGGCAGACUUAUGGCACUAUUUUUUCACGUCCUUAUUCCUUACAACUCGCGCUCCCAAAUUAUUGCGCUUUGUGUAAGCGGUCAAAGUACACGUACUUUGCCGUUCCUACUUGCUACAUUGGUUUGUAGUUCCGUGCGGUGUGGUUAUUUAACACCCUCUUUAAUCACUCCAAAGUGAACGGACGAUUUUUUUGCUUUUCCAGAGUGCAAAAAAAUGUUUCCAAUAAAAAAACUCUUUUGUUU
rnacentral:sRNA from 12 species